rnacentral:rRNA from 1 species
AGCGUACACGGUGGAUGCCCUGGCAGUCAGAGGCGAUGAAGGACGUGCUAAUCUGCGAUAAGCGUCGGUAAGGUGAUAUGAACCGUUAUAACCGGCGAUUUCCGAAUGGGGAAACCCAGUGUGUUUCGACACACUAUCAUUAACUGAAUCCAUAGGUUAAUGAGGCGAACCGGGGGAACUGAAACAUCUAAGUACCCCGAGGAAAAGAAAUCAACCGAGAUUCCCCCAGUAGCGGCGAGCGAACGGGGAGCAGCCCAGAGCCUGAAUCAGUGUGUGUGUUAGUGGAAGCGUCUGGAAAGGCGCGCGAUACAGGGUGACAGCCCCGUACACAAAAAUGCACAUACUGUGAGCUCGAUGAGUAGGGCGGGACACGUGGUAUCCUGUCUGAAUAUGGGGGGACCAUCCUCCAAGGCUAAAUACUCCUGACUGACCGAUAGUGAACCAGUACCGUGAGGGAAAGGCGAAAAGAACCCCGGCGAGGGGAGUGAAAAAGAACCUGAAACCGUGUACGUACAAGCAGUGGGAGCACGCUUCGGCGUGUGACUGCGUACCUUUUGUAUAAUGGGUCAGCGACUUAUAUUCUGUAGCAAGGUUAACCGAAUAGGGGAGCCGAAGGGAAACCGAGUCUUAACUGGGCGUUAAGUUGCAGGGUAUAGACCCGAAACCCGGUGAUCUAGCCAUGGGCAGGUUGAAGGUUGGGUAACACUAACUGGAGGACCGAACCGACUAAUGUUGAAAAAUUAGCGGAUGACUUGUGGCUGGGGGUGAAAGGCCAAUCAAACCGGGAGAUAGCUGGUUCUCCCCGAAAGCUAUUUAGGUAGCGCCUCGUGAAUUCAUCUCCGGGGGUAGAGCACUGUUUCGGCAAGGGGGUCAUCCCGACUUACCAACCCGAUGCAAACUGCGAAUACCGGAGAAUGUUAUCACGGGAGACACACGGCGGGUGCUAACGUCCGUCGUGAAGAGGGAAACAACCCAGACCGCCAGCUAAGGUCCCAAAGUCAUGGUUAAGUGGGAAACGAUGUGGGAAGGCCCAGACAGCCAGGAUGUUGGCUUAGAAGCAGCCAUCAUUUAAAGAAAGCGUAAUAGCUCACUGGUCGAGUCGGCCUGCGCGGAAGAUGUAACGGGGCUAAACCAUGCACCGAAGCUGCGGCAGCGACACUAUGUGUUGUUGGGUAGGGGAGCGUUCUGUAAGCCUGUGAAGGUGUGCUGUGAGGCAUGCUGGAGGUAUCAGAAGUGCGAAUGCUGACAUAAGUAACGAUAAAGCGGGUGAAAAGCCCGCUCGCCGGAAGACCAAGGGUUCCUGUCCAACGUUAAUCGGGGCAGGGUGAGUCGACCCCUAAGGCGAGGCCGAAAGGCGUAGUCGAUGGGAAACAGGUUAAUAUUCCUGUACUUGGUGUUACUGCGAAGGGGGGACGGAGAAGGCUAUGUUGGCCGGGCGACGGUUGUCCCGGUUUAAGCGUGUAGGCUGGUUUUCCAGGCAAAUCCGGAAAAUCAAGGCUGAGGCGUGAUGACGAGGCACUACGGUGCUGAAGCAACAAAUGCCCUGCUUCCAGGAAAAGCCUCUAAGCAUCAGGUAACAUUAAAUCGUACCCCAAACCGACACAGGUGGUCAGGUAGAGAAUACCAAGGCGCUUGAGAGAACUCGGGUGAAGGAACUAGGCAAAAUGGUGCCGUAACUUCGGGAGAAGGCACGCUGAUAUGUAGGUGAAGUCCCUCGCGGAUGGAGCUGAAAUCAGUCGAAGAUACCAGCUGGCUGCAACUGUUUAUUAAAAACACAGCACUGUGCAAACACGAAAGUGGACGUAUACGGUGUGACGCCUGCCCGGUGCCGGAAGGUUAAUUGAUGGGGUUAGCGGUAACGCGAAGCUCUUGAUCGAAGCCCCGGUAAACGGCGGCCGUAACUAUAACGGUCCUAAGGUAGCGAAAUUCCUUGUCGGGUAAGUUCCGACCUGCACGAAUGGCGUAAUGAUGGCCAGGCUGUCUCCACCCGAGACUCAGUGAAAUUGAACUCGCUGUGAAGAUGCAGUGUACCCGCGGCAAGACGGAAAGACCCCGUGAACCUUUACUAUAGCUUGACACUGAACAUUGAGCCUUGAUGUGUAGGAUAGGUGGGAGGCUUUGAAGUGUGGACGCCAGUCUGCAUGGAGCCGACCUUGAAAUACCACCCUUUAAUGUUUGAUGUUCUAACGUUGACCCGUAAUCCGGGUUGCGGACAGUGUCUGGUGGGUAGUUUGACUGGGGCGGUCUCCUCCUAAAGAGUAACGGAGGAGCACGAAGGUUGGCUAAUCCUGGUCGGACAUCAGGAGGUUAGUGCAAUGGCAUAAGCCAGCUUGACUGCGAGCGUGACGGCGCGAGCAGGUGCGAAAGCAGGUCAUAGUGAUCCGGUGGUUCUGAAUGGAAGGGCCAUCGCUCAACGGAUAAAAGGUACUCCGGGGAUAACAGGCUGAUACCGCCCAAGAGUUCAUAUCGACGGCGGUGUUUGGCACCUCGAUGUCGGCUCAUCACAUCCUGGGGCUGAAGUAGGUCCCAAGGGUAUGGCUGUUCGCCAUUUAAAGUGGUACGCGAGCUGGGUUUAGAACGUCGUGAGACAGUUCGGUCCCUAUCUGCCGUGGGCGCUGGAGAACUGAGGGGGGCUGCUCCUAGUACGAGAGGACCGGAGUGGACGCAUCACUGGUGUUCGGGUUGUCAUGCCAAUGGCACUGCCCGGUAGCUAAAUGCGGAAGAGAUAAGUGCUGAAAGCAUCUAAGCACGAAACUUGCCCCGAGAUGAGUUCUCCCUGACUCCUUGA